rnacentral:tRNA from 3 species
GGGCCUAUAGCAAUUGGUAGCGCGUACGACUCCAGAUCGUAAGGUUGUCCGAUCGAGCCGGGCUGGGCUCA